rnacentral:rRNA from 1 species
CCUACGGGAGGCAGCAGUGAGGAAUAUUGGUCAAUGGCCGUAAGGCUGAACCAGCCAAGUAGCGUGAGGGAAGACUGCCCUAUGGGUUGUAAACCUCUUUUAUGCGGGGAUAAAGGUGUCCACGUGUGGAUGUUUGCAGGUACUGCAUGAAUAAGGACCGGCUAAUUCCGUGCCAGCAGCCGCGGUAAUACGGAAGGUCCGGGCGUUAUCCGGAUUUAUUGGGUUUAAAGGGAGCGUAGGGCGGUCGUUAAGCGUGCUGUGAAAUUUUGUGGCUCAACCAUGAGAGUGCGGCGGGUACUGGAGGCAUUGAGUGCGGUGAAGGCAGGCGGAAUUCGUGGUGUAGCGGUGAAAUGCUUAGAUAUCACGAAGAACCCCGAUUGCGAAGGCAGCUUACUAAACUGUCACUGACAUUGAUGCUCGAAAGUGUGGGUAUCAAACAGGAUUAGAUACCCCAGUAGUC